UCAGUUCGGAUUGUAGUCUGNAACCCGACUACAUGAAGCUGGAAUCGCUAGUAAUCGCAGAUCAGAAUGCUGCGGUGAAUACGUUCCCGGGUCUUGUACACACCGCCCGUCACACCAUGGGAGUUGGAAAUGCCCGAAGCCAGUGACCCAACCGUAAGGAGGGAGCUGUCGAAGGUGGAGCCGAUGACUGGGGUGAAGUCGUAACAAGGUAUC
rnacentral:rRNA from 1 species